AUUUAAGUAGUUUAAUUAAAAUAAAGAUUUGUGGAUUCUUUGAUGUUGCUUAGAACCUUAAGUU
rnacentral:tRNA from 1 species